GUUAGGUUGAACAGUGGUUUUCAGCUUCCCGAAUAUCUAAGUUUUAAUCUGUUUUAGUCCACCGUAAGAUGUCAGGUUAAGAAACGCUUUUAAGCUUACCAAAUAUCCAAGUUUUAAUCUGUUUUAGUCCACCGUAAGAUGUCAGGUUAAGAAAUGCUUUUAAGCUUACCGAAUAUCCAAGUUUUAAUCUGUUUUAGUCCACCGUAAGAUGUCAGGUUAAGAAAUGGUUUUAAGCUUACUGAAUAUCUAAGUUUUAAUCUGUUUUAGUCCACCACAAGAUAUCGGGUUAAGAAAUGGUUUUAAGCUUCCCGAAUACCUAAGUUUUAAUCUGUUUUAGUCCACCAUAAGAUGUCAGGUUAAGAAAUGGUUUUCAGCUUCCCGAAUACCUAAGUUUUAAUCUGUUUUAGUCCACUGCAAGAUGUCAGGUUAAGAAAUGGUUUUAAGCUUCCCAAAUACCUAAGUUUUAAUCUGUUUUAGUCCACCGCAAGAUGUCAGGUUAAGAAAUGGUUUUAAGCUUCCCAAAUACCUAAGUUUUAAUCUGUUUUAGUCCAACGUAAGAUGUCAGGUUAAGAAAUGGUUUUAAGCUUCCCGAAUGUAAGUUUGAGUGUGUUACUUAACCUUAAAUUAUCAAGUUUAGAAAUUGUUUUGAGCUUCCUGAAUAUCAGAGUUAAGUCUAUCUUAUUUUGCCCUAUGUUGUUAGGUAUAGAAACGGUAUUAAGUUCACCGUUACCAGAUUAUCAUACUCAGAGCCUCGUAUUUACCAGUUUCUGACCUAUAACUAUUGCCACAAAACACUAAUAAUUAACCAUUUUAACGAUAGCUCUGCUCUCCUCCCGAAAUUGACCUCUCUUUCGGCCACCUCUUUUGAUUCUUUUUUUUUUAGGAGCAGCGAGGAGCAGGCUUUUUUUAUUAUUGUUUCCUUUUUUUAAAAAGUGCCCUUGAGCUGUCUCCUUUGUUGUAAAAAAAAUAAAUAAAAUAAAUAAAAUAAAGCCGGUUAUUGGGGUGAAGACAGUUUGUGGGUUGGAAAUCGGUAAGCACACAAGGCUGAGUACGACAAUCAAGCAAUGUUGAUGAAGUUGCCCAAAUAUCUAACUUCAAGUCUGUUACCACAUCCCACCUUAAGUUGUCUGGUUCACAAAUGGUUUUAAGCUUCCAAAAUACUAAGCUUCAAGUCUGUAUUAUUUCCCUUAAGCUGCCUUGUUCAUAAAUGGUAUUCUGAAUCAAUUAACCUCCCUGAAUACCUAACCCAAUAUUCCUGCCUGUAUUAUUCCACCUUAAACUAUCAGGUUCAUAAACAGCAUUCUGUAUUAAGCUUCACAAGUAUUUAAACCGGUAGCUGCAGGGAUCAUGUUUCUUAAAGGCCCCUCUAAGUGAGAAUAAUGAGAAAAAAUCAUCACUCAUGCAAAACAUUUCAUAAUAUAUAUCAAUGCAUUUGUGAUCAGUUUAUGCAUCAUCUAUUUUUGGGGGUUUAUAUCAUGGCAAAAAUUUGGCCCAUCGCUGGUACACGGUAAAGCCACAAAUUUGGCCAGUCGCUGGUGCCAGGUUAACCCCCAAAUUCCAGCUUGAAUUAUUUACUCUUAAACUGCCAGUCCUAAGUUCUAUUCAAUAUCAAGCUUCCUGAAUACCUGUCCCCAAGUCUCAACCAGUAAUUUUCCUUGAGUCAACUGCAAGCGUCAAGAUGUAUUACUGUGCUACACUGAAACUUGUUAAACAUUAUGGCUUCUUAAAUAGUGGUUACAUACUUCAUAACUUCCUGCAUCUCACUGCUGGACACAUUACUGUACAGCCCUGACAAGUAUUCCACUUGUUUUCUUCCUACUUUGAAGAACAGCAAACUCAAGUCAAUAGUGAUGAAUAUUGGUAAAGAAAAUUAUUGAACUGGAAGAACACCACAUGAUUUGACCAUUUUCAAGUUAUAAUAGCCAAAAAUUUGAUAGAAGUAGUAAAAGUAUGCACUGUUGGGCACGUAUAUACCAAACAGAGAAUGGAAUAUAAAUGUAAUGAAUGCUUAAACCAGUUCAAAGGAGUUUCACCACAAAGUUUCACUACAAACAGUUGCUUAAUACAGGCUUUUAUUGAAAACCCAUCAGAACCACUUGGCUCCACUUGCCUCCCUCCCUGUCCUUGCAGCCUUGAGAGAAUAUUGAGCAAACGUGGCAAGUAGUCAAAACCUUAACCAAGUCCAAUGCUUCCCAAGUCUAAGAUUAUGGUGCUACCUACAGGUUACCAAGCACACACCACGCAUUGCAUGUUCUUGCUUCAAUUAGAUGGAAGAAAAUAAAAUUGCAUUGAUAAGAAGUGUGAUAUAGGCCAUGCCACCUACAGGUUACCACACAUGAACUACGGACUGAACAUUUUCCCUUUGACUAGAUGACGCAUGAAAUAACAGACGAAGUAAGAGUUGGGUUUGUAUUUCACCGACAUAAGAGGCAACUUAUGAUACAAGUCCCAGUCACUGGACUCCUCUUUAAAUACACUCCUCACAUUAGUCACGUGGGCCUUACCUUGCCGAUGAUAGUCACAUGAUGAAAAAAAUUAAAAUAUACCUGCACAUAAAAAAAAAAAAAUAAUAAAAACACAUGGGACUAGAUUAAUCAAACCAUUUAUGAAACCUCUUGUUGGUAAGUCUUCCAGCAACUCCAUCUGCUAUGAAUGCUCUUGAUCUUUAUUUGGCUCUGAUGGCGAUGAAUGAAGUAAUGUUCUGGCUGUCACCUCAUUCACCGACAUCAGCUCCGCCCAAACACAAGGAGCAUUCGCAGUGGAUGGAGUUACAAGAAGACUUACCACUGAGAGGUCUUGCAAAUGGUUUGAUGAAUCAGCCCCUUGGGUGACAGAUAUGAUGAUGAUAAUGAAGGUGACAAAACAGUUGCGUCAGCAUGGUCACAGCUUGCGUGACAAUAAUAAUGAUGAUAACAGAACAAUGGUGCAGGUGGCCCUUAAUAUAGGCAGAUUUGGUUUCCAUCAGACUCAUUUUCCAAAAUGCAAAAAAAAAUUAAAUACUGCUUCCUAUGC